rnacentral:rRNA from 1 species
GGCCUAACACAUGCAAGUCGAGGGGUAAGGCUCUCUUCGGAGAGCACACGACCGGCGCACGGGUGCGUAACGCGUUUGCAACCUACCUGUAACUGGAACAUAGCCCCGAGAAAUCGGGAUUAAUUUUCCAUACCAUCCUUCGGUGGCAUCACCAUAGGAUGAAAGCUCCGGCGGUUACAGAUGGGCAUGCGUGACAUUAGCUUGUUGGUGCGGUAACGGCGCACCAAGGCCGAGAUGUCUAGGGGGUCUGAGAGGAUGAUCCCCCACACUGGUACUGAGACACGGACCAGACUCCUACGGGAGGCAGCAGUGAGGAAUAUUGCGCAAUGGACGAAAGUCUGACGCAGCCAUGCCGCGUGCAGGAUGACAGCCCUAUGGGUUGUAAACUGCUUUUCUGCUUUAAGAACCAGCCUUACGUGUAAGGCCUUGACGGUACAGCAGGAAUAAGCAUCGGCUAACUCCGUGCCAGCAGCCGCGGUAAUACGGAGGAUGCAAGCGUUAUCCGGAUUCAUUGGGUUUAAAGCGUGCGCAGGCGGAUGGGUAAGUCAGAGGUGAAAGCCUGCAGCUUAACUGUGGAAUUGCCUUUGAUACUGUCCAUCUUGAGUCCAGCUGAAGUAGGCGGAAUGUAGUAUGUAGCGGUGAAAUGCUUAGAUAUACUACAGAACACCCAUUGCGAAGGCAGCUUACUAAACUGGUACUGACGCUCAGGCACGAAAGCGUGGGGAGCAAACAGGAUUAGAUACCCUGGUAGUCCACGCCGUAAACGUUGAUCACUCGUUGUUGGCAAUACACCGUCAGCAACCCGAGUAACGCCGUAAGUGAUCCACCUGGGGAGUACGAUCGCAAGGUUGAAACUCAAAGGAAUUGACGGGGGCCCGCACAAGCGGAGGAGCAUGUGGUUUAAUUCGAUGAUACGCGAGGAACCUUACCUGGGCUUAAAUGUAGUGUGCAUUCCCCGAGAAAUCGGGAUUUCCUUCGGGACCCACUACAAGGUGCUGCAUGGUUGUCGUCAGCUCGUGCCGUGAGGUGUCGGGUUAAGUCCCAUAACGAGCGCAACCCCUAUCUUUAGUUGCUAACAGAUAAUGCUGAGGACUCUAAAGAAACUGCCCGCGCAAGCGGUGAGGAAGGUGGGGAUGACGUCAAAUCAGCACGGCCCUUAUGUCCAGGGCUACACACGUGCUACAAUGGCAGGUACAGUGGGCAGCUAGCUCGCAAGAGCAUGCUAAUCUCCAAAACCUGUCUCAGUCCGGAUCGGAGUCUGCAACCCGACUCCGUGAAGCUGGAUUCGCUAGUAAUCGCACAUCAGCCAUGGUGCGGUGAAUACGUUCCCGGGCCUUGUACACACCGCCCGUCAAGCCAUGGAAGCCGGGGGUACCUGAAGUCCGUAACCGUUAAGGAGCGGCCUAGGG